UUAAGUUAAUAAGGGCGCACGGUGGAUGCCUUGGCACUAGGAGCCGACGAAGGACGUGACAAACGACGAUAUGCCUUGGGUAGCUGUAAGUAAGCGAUGAUCCAGGGAUUUCCGAAUGGGGGAACCCAACAGGUAAUACCUGUUACCCACAUCUGUUAAGGAUGUGAGGAGGAAGACGCAGUGAACUGAAACAUCUAAGUAGCUGCAGGAAGAGAAAGCAAAAGCGAUUGCCUUAGUAGCGGCGAGCGAAACGGCAGAAGGGCAAACCGAAGAGUUUACUCUUCGGGGUUGUAGGACUGCAAUGUGGACUCAAAGAUUAUAGAAGAAUGAUUUGGGAAGAUCAGCCAAAGAGAGUAAUAGCCUCGUAUUUAAAAUAGUCUUUGUACCUAGCAGUAUCCUGAGUACGGCGGGACACGUGAAAUCCCGUCGGAAUCUGGGAGGACCAUCUCCCAACCCUAAAUACUCCCUAGUGACCGAUAGUGAACCAGUACCGUGAGGGAAAGGUGAAAAGCACCCCGGGAGGGGAGUGAAAUAGAACCUGAAACCGUGUGCCUACAACAAGUUCGAGCCCGUUAAUGGGUGAGAGCGUGCCUUUUGUAGAAUGAACCGGCGAGUUACGUUAUGAUGCGAGGUUAAGUUGAAGAGACGGAGCCGUAGGGAAACCGAGUCUGAAUAGGGCGCCUUAGUAUCAUGACGUAGACCCGAAACCAUGUGACCUACCCAUGAGCAGGUUGAAGGUGCGGUAAGACGCACUGGAGGACCGAACCAGGGCACGUUGAAAAGUGCUUGGAUGACUUGUGGGUAGCGGAGAAAUUCCAAACGAACUUGGAGAUAGCUGGUUCUCUCCGAAAUAGCUUUAGGGCUAGCGUCGACAUUAGAGAUUCUUGGAGGUAGAGCACUGUUUGGGUGAGGGGUCCAUCCCGGAUUACCAAUCUCAGAUAAACUCCGAAUGCCAAUGAAUUAUGGUCGGCAGUCAGACUGCGAGUGCUAAGAUCCGUAGUCGAAAGGGAAACAGCCCAGACCACCAGCUAAGGUCCCAAAAUAAUUGUUAAGUGGAAAAGGAUGUGGGGUUGCACAGACAACUAGGAUGUUAGCUUAGAAGCAGCUAUUCAUUCAAAGAGUGCGUAAUAGCUCACUAGUCGAGUGACCCUGCGCCGAAAAUGUACCGGGGCUAAAACAAUUUACCGAAGCUGUGGAUACCUUUAUAGGUAUGGUAGGAGAGCGUUCUAUGUGUGAUGAAGGUAUACCGUGAGGAGUGCUGGAACGCAUAGAAGUGAGAAUGCCGGUAUGAGUAGCGAAAGACAGGUGAGAAUCCUGUCCACCGUAAGACUAAGGUUUCCAGGGGAAGGCUCGUCCGCCCUGGGUUAGUCGGGACCUAAGGAGAGACCGAAAGGUGUAUCCGAUGGACAACAGGUUGAUAUUCCUGUACUAGAGUAUGUAGUGAUGGAGGGACGCAGUAGGCUAACUAAAGCAGACGAUUGGAAGAGUCUGUCUAAGCAGUGAGGUGUGAUAUGAGUCAAAUGCUUAUAUCUGUAACAUUGAGCUGUGAUGGGGAGCGAAGUUUAGUAGCGAAGUUAGUGACGUCACACUGCCAAGAAAAGCUUCUAGCGUUUAAACAUACUCUACCCGUACCGCAAACCGACACAGGUAGUCGAGGCGAGUAGCCUCAGGUGAGCGAGAGAACUCUCGUUAAGGAACUCGGCAAAAUGUCCCCGUAACUUCGGGAGAAGGGGUGCUGACUUUAAGUCAGCCGCAGUGAAUAGGCCCAAGCAACUGUUUAUCAAAAACACAGCUCUCUGCUAAAUCGUAAGAUGAUGUAUAGGGGGUGACGCCUGCCCGGUGCGGGAAGGUUAAGAGGAGUGCUUAGCGUAAGCGAAGGUAUGAAUUGAAGCCCCAGUAAACGGCGGCCGUAACUAUAACGGUCCUAAGGUAGCGAAAUUCCUUGUCGGGUAAGUUCCGACCCGCACGAAAGGCGUAAUGAUUUGGGCACUGUCUCAACGAGAGACUCGGUGAAAUUUUAGUACCUGUGAAGAUGCAGGUUACCCGCGACAGGACGGAAAGACCCCAUGGAGCUUUACUGCAGUUUGAUAUUGAGUGUCUGUACCACAUGUACAGGAUAGGUAGGAGUCUAAGAGAUCGGGACGCCAGUUUCGAAGGAGACGCUGUUGGGAUACUACCCUUGUGUUAUGGCCACUCUAACCCAGAUAGGUGAUCCCUAUCGGAGACAGUGUCUGACGGGCAGUUUGACUGGGGCGGUCGCCUCCUAAAAGGUAACGGAGGCGCCCAAAGG
rnacentral:rRNA from 1 species